UUUUUAACCUUAAAAAAUAAAUCAUGAGACAUGAAUUUUAAAAAAAAAAAACCUUUUACAACCGGACUUCUGGGGCCUCCCUCCAUGAAGAAAACCGCCCAAAGGGGAAAAAAGUGGGGAAUUGCGAAAUUUUUGGAACCUCCAAACUUUU
rnacentral:rRNA from 1 species